rnacentral:rRNA from 1 species
UACGGAGGAUGCAAGCGUUAUCCGGAAUGAUUGGGCGUAAAGGGUCCGCAGGUGGCAGUGUAAGUCUGCUGUCAAAGAAUGAGGCUUAACCUUAUCAAGGCAGUGGAAACUACACAGCUAGAGUACGGUCGGGGUAGAAGGAAUUCCUGGUGUAGCGGUGAAAUGCGUAGAGAUCAGGAAGAACACCGGUGGCGAAAGCGUUCUGCUAGACCGGUACUGACACUGAGGGACGAAAGCUAGGGGAGCGAAUGGG